rnacentral:rRNA from 1 species
AGGAUGAACGCUGGCGGCGUGCCUAACCUAUGCAAGUCGAACGAGGCUUUGAGCCGAGUGGCGGACGAGUGAGUAACACGUACCUAAUCUGCCUGUAAGUGGGGAACAACCGCCCGAAAGGGUGGCUAAUACCGCAUGUGCUCUACGGAGUAAAGCUUUUGCGCUUACAGAUGAGGGUGCGGCCUAUCAGCUAGUUGGUGAGGUAAUGGCUUACCAAGGCUAUGACGGGUAGCUGGUCUGAGAGGAUGAUCAGCCACGCUGGGACUGAGAUACGGCCCAGACUCCUACGGGAGGCAGCAGUGGGGAAUUUUGCGCAAUGGGGGAAACCCUGACGCAGCAACGCCGCGUGGAGGAUGAAGUCCCUUGGGACGUAAACUCCUUUCGAUCGGGACGAUAAUGACGGUACCGGAAGAAGAAGCCCCGGCUAACUUCGCGCCAGCAGCCGC